GCAAUAGUGGCUCAGAUGGUAAAGCUUAGGACUCGUAAUCCAAUGGUCGCGAGUUCGAUACGCGUCCAGACCA